UACGUAGGGUGCGAGCGUUGUCCGGAAUUAUUGGGCGUAAAGAGCUUGUAGGCGGUUUGUCGCGUCUGCUGUGAAAAUCCGGGGCUCAACCCCGGACUUGCAGUGGGUACGGGCAGACUAGAGUGUGGUAGGGGAGACUGGAAUUCCUGGUGUAGCGGUGAAAUGCGCAGAUAUCAGGAGGAACACCGAGUGGCGAAGGCAGGUCUCUGGGCCACUACUGACGCUGAGAAGCGAAAGCGUGGGGAGCGAACAGG
rnacentral:rRNA from 1 species